AGUGAACGCUGGCGGUAGGCCUAACACAUGCAAGUCGAACGGCAGCACAGUAAGAGCUUGCUCUUACGGGUGGCGAGUGGCGGACGGGUGAGGAAUACAUCGGAAUCUACUUUUUCGUGGGGGAUAACGUAGGGAAACUUACGCUAAUACCGCAUACGACCUACGGGUGAAGUCAGGGGUUCUUCGGACCUUGCGCGAUUGAAUGAGCCGAUGUCGGAUUAGCUAGUUGGCGGGGUAAAGGCCCACCAAGGCGACGAUCCGUAGCUGGUCUGAGAGGAUGAUCAGCCACACUGGAACUGAGACACGGUCCAGACUCCUACGGGAGGCAGCAGUGGGGAAUAUUGGGCAAUGGGCGCAAGCCUGAUCCAGCCAUACCGCGUGGGUGAAGAAGGCCUUCGGGUUGUAAAGCCCUUUUAUUAGGAAAGAAAAGCAGCGGAUUAAUACCCCGCUGUUCUGACGGUACCCAAAGAGUAAGCACCGGCUAACUUCGUG
rnacentral:rRNA from 1 species